UGCAGUCGAGCGGAACGGCAGCAUUGAAGCUUCGGUGGGAUUUGCUGGACGUCGAGCGGCGGACGGGUGAGUAACGGCUGGGAACCUGCCCUGACGAGGGGGAUAACCGUUGGAAACGACGGCUAAUACCGCAUAAUGUCUUAGUUCAUUACGAGCUGGGACCAAAGGUGGCCUCUACAUGUAAGCUAUCGCGUUGGGAUGGGCCCAGUUAGGAUUAGCUAGUUGGUAAGGUAAUGGCUUACCAAGGCGACGAUCCUUAGCUGGUUUGAGAGGAUGAUCAGCCACACUGGGACUGAGACACGGCCCAGACUCCUACGGGAGGCAGCAGUGGGGAAUAUUGCACAAUGGGGGAGACCCUGAUGCAGCCAUGCCGCGUGUGUGAAGAAGGCCUUCGGGUUGUAAAGCACUUUCAGCAGUGAGGAAGGUGGUGUACUUAAUAAGUGCAUGGCUUGACGUUAGCUGCAGAAGAAGCACCGGCUAACUCCGUGCCAGCAGCCGCGGUAAUACGGAGGGUGCGAGCGUUAAUCGGAAUUACUGGGCGUAAAGCGCAUGCAGGCGGUUUGUUAAGUCAGAUGUGAAAGCCCGGGGCUCAACCUCGGAACCGCAUUUGAAACUGGCAGGCUAGAGUCUUGUAGAGGGGGGUAGAAUUUCAUGUGUAGCGGUGAAAUGCGUAGAGAUCUGAAGGAAUACCAGUGGCGAAAGCGGCCCCCUGGACAAAGACUGACGCUCAGAUGCGAAAGCGUGGGUAGCAAACAGGAUUAGAUACCCUGGUAGUCCACGCCGUAAACGCUGUCUACUUGGAGGUUGAGGUUUAGACUUUGGCUUUCGGCGCUAACCCAUUAAGUAGACCGCCUGGGGAGUACGGCCGCAAGGUUAAAACUCAAAUGAAUUGACGGGGGCCCGCACAAGCGGUGGAGCAUGUGGUUUAAUUCGAUGCAACGCGAAGAACCUUACCUACUCUUGACAUCCAGCGAAUCCUUUAGAGAUAGAGGGGUGCCUUCGGGAGCUCUGAGACAGGUGCUGCAUGGCUGUCGUCAGCUCGUGUUGUGAAAUGUUGGGUUAAGUCCCGCAACGAGCGCAACCCUUAUCCUUGUUUGCCAGCACGUAAUGGUGGGAACUCCAGGGAGACUGCCGGUGAUAAACCGGAGGAAGGUGGGGACGACGUCAAGUCAUCAUGGCCCUUACGAGUAGGGCUACACACGUGCUACAAUGGCAGAUACAGAGGGCAGCGAAGCUGCGAAGUGGAGCGAAUCCCUUAAAGUCUGUCGUAGUCCGGAUUGGAGUCUGCAACUCGACUCCAUGAAGUCGGAAUCGCUAGUAAUCGUGGAUCAGAAUGCCACGGUGAAUACGUUCCCGGGCCUUGUACACACCGCCCGUCACACCAUGGGAGUGGGCUGCACCAGAAGUAGAUAGCUAACCUCGGAGGGCGUU
rnacentral:rRNA from 1 species